rnacentral:rRNA from 1 species
CUGCUGCCUCCCGUAGGAGUUUGGACCGUGUCUCAGUUCCAAUGUGGGGGGACCUUCCUCUCAGAACCCCUACUGAUCGUCGCCCCGGUGGGCCGUUACCCCGCCGGCAAGCUAAUCAGACGCAUCCCCAUCCUUUACCGGCCGAAGCCUUUGGUCAUGAAAAUAUGCAUCAACAUGACAACAUACGGUAUUAAUCCGCCUUUCGACGGGCUGUCCCAUAGUAAAGGGCAGGUUGGAUACGCGUUACUCACCCGUGCGCCGGUCGCCAU